AUCGUGCUCACGCAUGGCAGACCAUGUCACUUCGUCCACCGAAUACAUUAGCAUGGGAUAAUGGAAUAGGACCCUGUCCUCCUAUUUUGCGUGUUGGUUUUCGAGGACCGGGUAAUGAUUAAUAGGGAUAGUUGGGGGCAUUAAUAUUUAAUUGUCAGAGGUGAAAUUCUUGGAUUUAUGAAAGAUUGACUUCUGCGAAAGCAUCUGCCAAGGAUGUUUUCAUUAAUCAAGAACGAAAGUUAGGGGAUCGAAGACGAUCAGAUACCGUCGUAGUCUUAACCAUAAACGAUGCCGACCAGCGAUUAGGAGACGUUGAAUACAAAACACCACCGUCGGGUCGGCCGUCCUUGGCCGUCGUGCGCGGCGACGCGCGCGGCGGCGAGGGCGGUGUCUGCCCGACGGCCCGGUGAAUGACUCCCCUAGCAGCCUUGUGAGAA
rnacentral:rRNA from 1 species